CUUUGAUUUAUAUCUUCUAUAUUUUCUUUUUUGGACUAGCUAGUACCAUCAAACCCUUGCCUGCCUUGGCUCUGAAUGCAGCAGUCUCUUUCCAGGGUAAUUCCAGGAUGGCUUGUCCUACAUCAUCUCAGAGAGGCUGCAGCUCUCCUUCUGUCUUGCCUGGUUACAAGUGAGUCUAACAGCUUUCCAAAAUCCCAGAUCUGUUGGAGAUUUUACCCAUUCCUUCCUUGGAAGUUGAGGAUCCCAAGCAUUUUCCCAAACUGAUUGAUGCUAUCCCUCAUAAAUCCAGGGAAAAAGAGUCAAGCAAAUGGCAGUGGGAUGGAUCAAAGCAAAUGCUCUGGGCUACACCUUGCUCUUGAGAGAUGCUCUGGGGACAAAGAUGUCUGUUGGUACCUCAUCACAAUGGUAAUGCUCUAGGUUGCAGUGGUAAGUUGACAGAUUGCUAUUUAUGUAAAUAUUUUCUGCUGAAAAGCAAAAUUCAAGGAGCAGCUCUGAUAUUUUAACUUAUUUUUGUGGGAACAUGGCCAGCAUUGCCCAUAAUUCAUACUGUGGUAUGACUAGGACUCUGGUAUGUCACACAGCAUUUCAAAACUGAGACUGACAACUUCUAAAAUUAAGUUUAGUUAUGCAUGUGUUUUGUUAACCAUAUUAUGUACUUACAGCAGCUUUUUAUAACUGAGGAACAAGAU
rnacentral:lncRNA from 1 species